GUCAGGUAGUAAGGGCACAGGGCGGAUGCCUUGGCUCUGGGAAGCGAUGAAGGACGUGGCUAGCUGCGAUAAGCCUCGGGGAAGAGCAAACAUCUUUUGAUCCGUGGAUUUCCGAAUGGGGGAACCCGCAUGGCUGUUGAGGCCAUGCACUGUUGAGUGAAUACAUAGCUCAUCAGAGCGAACUCGGGGAACUGAAACAUCUCAGUACCCGGAGGAAAGUAAAGCAACAGCGACUCCCUGAGUAGCGGCGAGCGAAAUGGGAUGAGCCUAAACCGACCUGGUGUCAAGCCUGACGGCAUUGCCAGGGUGGGGUCGUGGGACCGAAUAGGAGGGGCGUCAGACCUUCCACAGAGUUACAAAUCUGUCAGUUAGCAGAAGUGUUUUGGAAAAGCACGCCGCAGUGGGUAAUAGCCCCGUAAGCGAAAACUGUACAGACUCUGUUUCGUCAUCCCGAGUAACACCGGAUCCGGGAAAGCCGGUGUGAAUCUGCGAGGACCACCUCGUAAGGCUAAGUAUAGGUAGGCGACCGAUAGUGAACUAGUACCGUGAGGGAAAGGUGAAAAGUACCCCGGGAGGGGAGUGAAAUAGUACCUGAAACCGUUGAUCUACAAUCAGUCAAAGCGUCGUCUCGAGUUUACUCGAGGCCGCAAUGGCGUGCCUUUUGAAGAAUGAGCCAACGAGUUACGGUGUGUGGCAAGGUUAACCCGUGAGGGGAAGCCGGAGCGAAAGCGAGUCUGAAUAGGGCGUUCAGUCGCAUGCUGUAGACCCGAAGCUGAGUGAUCUAUCCAUGGGCAGUGUGAAGCGGAGGUAAGACUCCGUGGAGGCGCGAACCGACCUAGGUUGAAAACUGGGCGGAUGACCUGUGGAUAGGGGUGAAAGGCCAAUCAAACUCAGUGAUAGCUGGUUCUCCGCGAAAUGCAUUUAGGUGCAGCGUCGUAUGUUCAGCCAUGGAGGUAGAGCACUGGAUGGGUUAGGGGGCCUACAAGCUUACCAACCCCAGCCAAACUCCGAAUGCCAUGGCUCCAGAGUACGGCAGUGAGUCCUCGGGGGAUGAGCUUCGAUGGACGAGAGGGAAACAGCCCAGACCGCCGACUAAGGUCCCAAAGUUAAGACUAAGUGGUAAACGAAGUGGGAUUGCCCAGACAGCCAGGAUGUUGGCUUAGAAGCAGCCAUCAUUUAAAGAGUGCGUAACAGC
rnacentral:rRNA from 1 species